AAACGACUCUCGGCAACGGAUAUCUCGGCUCUCGCAUCGAUGAAGAACGUAGCGAAAUGCGAUACUUGGUGUGAAUUGCAGAAUCCCGUGAACCAUCGAGUCUUUGAACGCAAGUUGCGCCCGAAGCCUUCUGGCUGAGGGCACGUCUGCCUGGGCG
rnacentral:rRNA from 1 species